UUUUGUUUUUGUAGUUUAAUACGACCAACCAACAAUAUGUGGCGCUUUAAUCAAAUAAAUUCUAAUAUCCAUUCAUUAAAAAAAAAAAUCUAAACAGCAUGUUAAUUUUUGGUGAGGAAAAUUGGAUGUUUGUUUGUGUGUGUGUGUGGGUGUAUGUGUAUUUUAUUUUAUUUUGUCUUGAAGAAAACUCCAAUGGUCUAAUCUAAAUCACCGAUUACAAAAUAUCGAUGAUGAAACAUCGUAUUGAUAGAUGAUUGGUCAUUUAUUUUGGCUUUAAAUUUAAAAAAAAAAUGAAUAGCCAAAAAAAUUUGUCGAAUGCAAACAACAACAAAAAAAUUCAACCCUUUGAUCCCAUCAUCUUGGAUAGAUGAAAAAGAAUGAUAAUUAAAGAAAAAUGAAUCAUUGACUGAAUCGAUCAAUCGAUUAUCGACCAAUCAAUUUAUUUGAUUUAAAAAAAACAACAAAUCUUUUUUUUUCUUCAAUCAAAAAAAAAAUUAUCAAACAACUAACUGACUGAUUGAGAUGUUUAUGACGAUGAUGAUGAC